GACGAACGCUGGCGGCGUGCCUAAUACAUGCAAGUCGAACGCAGUGGGGACGGGUGCGUAAAACGUGGGUAACCUCCCAUCAGAGGGGAUAACACUUGGAAACAGGUGCUCAACCGAUACUGCUGGCUGGACCCGCGGUGCAUUAGCUAGUUGGUGGGGUAACGGCUCACCAAGGACACGAUGCAUAGCCGACCGGAGAGGGUGUGCGGGCACACUGGGCCUGAGACACGGCCCAGACUCCGACGGGAGGCAGCAGUAGGGAAUCUUGGGCAAUGGACGAAAGUCUGACCGAGCAACGCCGCGUGAGUGAAGAAGGUUUUCGGAUCGUAAAACUCUGUUGUUAGAGAAGCGGUAUCUAACCAGAAAGCCACGGCUAACUACGUGCCAGCAGCCGCGGUAAUAC
rnacentral:rRNA from 1 species